rnacentral:rRNA from 1 species
AUUGAACGCUGGCGGCAGGCCUAACACAUGCAAGUCGAGCGGCAGCGGGAAAGUAGCUUGCUACUUUUGCCGGCGAGCGGCGGACGGGUGAGUAAUGCCUGGGAAAUUGCCCAGUCGAGGGGGAUAACAGUUGGAAACGACUGCUAAUACCGCAUACGCCCUACGGGGGAAAGCAGGGGACCUUCGUGCCUUGCGCGAUUGGAUCUGCCCAGGUGGGAUUAGCUAGUUGGUGAGGUAAUGGCUCACCAAGGCGACGAUCCCUAGCUGGUCUGAGAGGAUGAUCAGCCACACUGGAACUGAGACACGGUCCAGACUCCUACGGGAGGCAGCAGUGGGGAAUAUUGCACAAUGGGGGAAACCCUGAUGCAGCCAUGCCGCGUGUGUGAAGAAGGCCUUCGGGUUGUAAAGCACUUUCAGCGAGGAGGAAAGGUUGAUGCCUAAUACGCAUCAACUGUGACGUUACUCGCAGAAGAAGCACCGGCUAACUACGUGCCAGCCGCCGCAGUAA